rnacentral:rRNA from 1 species
UUAGAGCUGGGCGCAGCCUGAUCAGCCAUGCCGCGUGAGUGAUGAAGGCCUUAGGGUUGUAAAGCUCUUUCACCGGAGAAGAUAAUGACGGUAUCCGGAGAAGAAGCCCCGGCUAACUUCGUGCCAGCAGCCGCGGUAAUCAAAAGGGGGC